GGCCCUGUGGCCUAAUGGUAAGGCGUUGGUUUUCGGUUUGCCUCUUGUAAAUCCACCAAAGAUUGUGCGUUCGAGUCGCAUCGGGGUCG